GAUCGCCAAGCUUUUACCCCACAAAAUGAACUGGAGCAUAUUCUAUUUGAUGAAAGCGCAGAACCAAAGGCUCUACCAUUACCACUUCUGGAGCACAUCACCAGGGAUUUCUCUGUUUACAAAGAAAUUGGCUGCGGUGGCUUUGCAAGGGUUUAUAAGGGAAUACUUGACAAUGGUACGAUUGUUGUGAAGAAGCUUUUCGACAUGGUUGAUAUUGAUGACAAGAGAUUCAGGGAAGAGGUUCAUUGUUUGAUGAAGGAAAAGCACCGAAAUAUAGUACGGUUAUUAGGAUAUUGCUCUAACACACAAGGGGAAAUGAUAUAUCACGAGGGAGAGCUUGUCUUGGCAGAUGUCCGACAAAGGAUACUCUGCUUUGAAUAUCUACCUCAAGUGAGUCUUGAUAAGCAAACCACCGGUAGGAUCGAG
rnacentral:rRNA from 1 species